UGGGUGCCUGCCAUGGACAAAGGCCCGGCCUGGAGCCCCGAGGCUGCAUCUGAGCCCUGAGGCUCUGGUCAAUUCCAGGGACUGGAGCAGUGGGUUCACAUCGCUGAGCUUCAGAUUAUGCUCACUUUGCCUCUUCAUGGGGUUUCUGUGAGGCUCAAGAUGAGAAUGUACGGGAAAGGAAUCGCCUUAUCUACCGUGGCCCCUAAAAAUCAGAGGAUCACUGUCUGCUGUGUUGAAAUCAGACUGAAGAGGCUGGAAGAGGGUAAAGGGAGAACCAAGAAGACCACUUAGGAAACAAUAGCAAGAAUCCAGGACUGACCCUGGGAUGCCUGGACCUUGGUCGGCCUUCAAGACUCUCCAGGAAGAACCCUGAGAUCAGGCAGAUGAGAAGUGACUGUGAUGGCCCUCCUAUGGAGAAAGAGUGCCUUCUUUCUUUGCUCGUAGAGAAAGGAGGAUGGUCCUUAUAGAGAGGAGGGUGCUAUAGUGGAGGCCAUCCAGAAAUUUUAAUAUGCUCUAUCUACGACAUCGUCUUCCAUCGGUCAGUGGCUUUAUCUUGGAACUGUGAAAACAGAGUUGGACAAAACUGUGAGGAAUUCCAUGGGGUGGCACUGAAAUAUCUGUAAGAGCUGUGGUGCUAAAAGGAUAAGAAGAAAAUUCAAAAUAGGGUGGGGUAGCAAAUAGAUUGUUUGAAACUAACCAAAUGGCAAGCUGGGAGAGAAAGAAUCAGGUAUGGUGUCAUCUCAAUCUUUGGGAGGUAGGCUGUGAGACAAGGCAACUCAGAAAUUGGUCUCAGUGUGUCUGUGGUGUUGCCACAGGGGCCUCUCUGGUUAUUAAAAAACCUAAUCCAGCCGAGAUGGCAUCUCCAAAAUUGCCAGGGGCGGGGCGGGGGGUGGUAAACCGAGGACUAUUUAAGAUGGCAUUGUUUCCUUAGAGGUAAGCAAUUAAAAAAAAAUUAAGACUUUAUUUUUUAAAGUAGUUUUAUGUUCAGUUUUAGAACAGAAAAAUUGAGGGGUAGGUACAGAGAUUUCCCAUAAACCACGCCCACAUCCCCAGACGUAAAUAGUCUCUCCCAUUAUCAGCACCCUCCAUUAGAAUGGUACAUUUGUUAUAGUUAGCCUGUACGGACACGUCACAGUCACCCAGAGUUUAUAGUUUACAUUACAAUGUCAUACAUUUGUCCAAACCCAUAGAAUGUAUAACACCAAGUAGGAACCGUAAUGACUGUGGAUUUUGGGUAAGCAUGU